rnacentral:misc_RNA from 1 species
CUUGAAAAACAACUGUUGAAAAAACAAGGAAAAAGUGCAGCUGCUGAUCACCAAAGAAGUAAAUCAUCUGGGCCUACAAAGAAGGAGUCUGGUAUUGCUUCAGAAAGUUUGGCAAAUAAUAGUGGAAAAACUGGAAAUGCCAAAUUGAAUACAAGUAUUAAAGAUGAGAUUAAGAUGAGAUUAUUGGCAAUCCCUUGAAAGCCAAGGAUGGAAAUCUGCUAAUCUCAGAAGAUGAUCAUUCUGAAGCAACACCACGGAUGAGAGGAUUGCAGGAUUUUGGGCUCAGAACUGCUCCUUUAAAGCGAAAGCUUCAAUCAUCUGUUGAUUCAGAUAGUUCUGUGAUACCUAUGGCAGAUAAUCACUUUCAAGCUCAUCCUGUUGGUGCCCCUAACAUGGAAAGAACAAAUCAUGCAAAUGGAGUGGAUGAGAUAGGGGCUAUUUCCCUGGCCAAGAGAAGUAGAAAUGUUCACUUACCAGCUGAGUCUAGUGAUUCUUUGGAUGAUAAAGAACUUCCUCCAAACCAGAUUAACAUGUUGUCUUCCCAGUUUGAAGGAAGUUCUUUAUCAUCCAAAGAAUCAC